UGGGGAAUAUUGCACAAUGGGCGCAAGCCUGAUGCAGCAACGCCGCGUGAGGGAUGACGGCCUUCGGGUUGUAAACCUCUUUUAGCAAGGAAGAAGCGAAAGUGACGGUACUUGCAGAAAAAGCGCCGGCUAACUACGUGCCAGCAGCCGCGGUAAUACGUAGGGCGCAAGCGUUAUCCGGAAUUAUUGGGCGUAAAGAGCUCGUAGGCGGUUUGUCGCGUCUGCUGUGAAACCCCGAGGCUCAACCUC
rnacentral:rRNA from 1 species